rnacentral:rRNA from 1 species
GACGAACGCUGGCGGCGUGCCUAACACAUGCAAGUCGAACGGGGAUUAAUAAUGAAAUGUUUUCGGAUGUGGAGUUAUUGAUUCUAGUGGCGGACGGGUGAGUAACGCGUGAGUAAUCUGGCCUAAAGAGGGGGAUAACAUUGGGAAACCAAUGCUAAUACCGCAUAAGACCACAAUGCCACAUGGCAAAGGGGUCAAAGAUUUAUCGCUUUAGGAUGAGCUCGCGUCCCAUUAGCUAGAUGGCAGGGUAAAAGCCUACCAUGGCGACGAUGGGUAGCCGGACUGAGAGGUCGAACGGCCACACUGGGACUGAGACACGGCCCAGACUCCUACGGGAGGCAGCAGUGGGGAAUAUUGGGCAAUGGGGGAAACCCUGACCCAGCAACGCCGCGUGAGAGAAGAAGGUUUUCGGAUUGUAAAUCUCUGUCCUCAGGGACGAAAAAAAUGACGGUACCUGAGGAGGAAGCCCCGGCUAACUACGUGCCAGCAGCCGCAGUAAGAC